rnacentral:rRNA from 1 species
UACGAAGGGGGCUAGCGUUGCUCGGAAUUACUGGGCGUAAAGCGCACGUAGGCGGCUUUCUAAGUCGGAGGGUGAAAUCCUGGAGCUCAACUCCAGAACUGCCUUUGAUACUGAGAUCUUGAGUCGGGAGAGGUGAGUGGAACUGCGAGUGUAGAGGUGAAAUUCGUAGAUAUUCGCAAGAACACCAGUGGCGAAGGCGGCUCACUGGCCCGAUACUGACGCUGAGGCACGAAAGCGUGGGGAGCAAACAGG